UUAUAUUCAAGCUCUUAGACAUGCUCAAUAGAGAGAAGCAAUGAAGUUUGAAUUAGAUUGUCAUGACCUAAUUUUUGGGCCAUGACUGGCGCAUGGACUCAAUGGACAUAGUCCGUUAAGCCUAGGCAAGCCAAUUUAUAUAAUCUUGCUCAUCAUCCCGUCAACCAUUCUUACAUUUACAUCUCAUAAGCUCAACCCUUAAAUACUUUAAUAGUAAGUUAUAACAAUCAAAACUACAUUUAUAUUAGCCCAAAAUAACCUUAACCAUUGCCACUCAUGGUGGCUUUACCAAUCAAAAUGUACAUAUAUGGUCUAAGGCAUACAUCUUAGUACUUUACAUCACAUGUAUGUAUUUACAAACAAAAAUGACUCUAGGCUUCCAGCGGAGUGACCAAGGUGAGGGUGCGACUACGGAGUGCCAAGAUACUUACCAAGGAGACGAAACUACGUGGACACCUCGACCUAGGUUCCAACUGCCUCCUGAUCCGAAAACAUGAAGUUGAAAACAGAGAGUACAAACUCAGUGAGUGAACAUAAGAAGGGAAUAAGCAACGAUAAGGAAAAUUGAUAAUCACGAUGCAUUUAUUUGAAAACAAUGCAAUUUAGUUCAAGUUCUUAUUAAAAUCCCUCCAUUAAACCUUUGGUUAUUAAAUCAUUAAUGAUGAAAGAACCACAUCCAACAUGAAAUUGGAAAGAAAGGAAAUUCCCAACAAUUAUCCGAACAAGGCAGCAUAAUAGAUAGAUUAUCGCUGCAGCGGAAAGGCAUUCUCACUGUAGUAAACUUCGAGCACAAAUCAUUAAUGGAACGAAGGUUUCACUCAACUACACGAGGGUUUCACGUUAGAACCCCUUGUCUCAAACUAAAUUAAUUAAUCCAUUGACAUUGGAAAUCCAUGAUCAACCAUAAUGUUAGAGAAGUGGAAAAUAUGGCAAAAACCAACAAGGUAGCAUGAAGGACAGAAAGUUUCUCGUUGCAUCGAGAUUCAGGGGACAAAACAGAAUGUUUCUCAUUGCAGUGAGAAUUCAUUCUUGCUGUAGUGAGUUGCAGGCAGCAAAAACAUAAUGUUUCUCGUUGCAGCGAGAAGCGGGGCACCUAAAUAAAGAAGCACCUCCUUUGCACUAAACAUCUAUUUGGUGCUGCAAUAAAAUCAAUUUGCAAGUAAAUGGAAAUUUUCAAGAUUCAUCAUGCCAUACAAUCACAUAUUAUAAUCAUGAUCUUUCUAUUGCAUAUACAUAUACCUAAACAUAUAUCAAUUUGUAUACCACCCCAUCGCACCUAACUCAUGUGCAUCUCCCCACAUCGUGCACUUAGCCGAAGUCAUCGCGUGCAUCACCCCACAUCGUGCAUAAUUGAUGCCAUCGUGUGCAUCCCCCCACAUCGUGCACACGUGCAAUAUCACCAUCCAUCUCCCUCACCACCAUCAUCACCGGUAGGUGCACACUCACCCCGCACAUGCACGGUUGCAUUUGUCACACAAUGGUACCAUUUAUGACAUAGUGUAUAUAUAUAUAUAUCAACAUUAUACAGAACCAUAUGGAUUCAUCACACUAUCCAUUUCAUAACAUAAAAACAUUUCAUAAGGGCUUGUUCCUGUGCAAGUUUUGAAGAAAGAACCAAUAAAAUGUUUUAGGGGAUUCAAUCAAACAUACAUGUGUAUAUCUUAAAACCUUUUUUUUUAAUACAAGUUCAUUCAUCGGUAUUUGUUGAACCUUUAGUCGAAUCUAACUUUCCUAAUGGUCUAAUUAGGGUUGAGAGGCCUCGUUGGGACCUAUCACGCAUAAAAACAUCACAGCCAAUCCAAUUUACAUUAAUAUCACUCCAAAAGCUGUUUCCCAAAUCAAGCUUCAAUAGCUCUUCCUAUCUACCUUCCAAUUACCAUCUGAUUGGCUAUUCAGUUUUUCUUCUUUAGUAACACUAGAAAUAGAUAAACAACUUCAGCAAUAACAAAACUCAUAACUUCAAUUACUAACCAUUAUCAACAACUUAAAACCAAUCAUAAUUCAUCACUCACCUUGGUAGAUUGUAAUGAAAUUCCUCCCCAAGAGUCCUCAAGCUAUCAUGAAAUCUCUCUCUCUUUCUUUACACAAUUCAGCUGAUGAGAGAAAGUAUUGAAGAAAGACUUUUAAGGGUUUGUUUAAGGUGAGGGAGUAAAAGAGUAUGAAAAACCCUAUAACAGGGUGUGUAAAGCACGAAGAUUGAGGUUAGUUUGAGAGAGUGAUGGAAGCUUGAGAGAAGCUUUCAUGGAAGAGGAGAGAAACGUGAGAUGGGAGGAAAAAGAAGAA
rnacentral:lncRNA from 1 species